GGCACACACCUAUAUAAGUCGCUCUGGAUAAGAGCGUCUGCUAAAUGACUUAAA
rfam:Salmo salar isolate Sally breed double haploid chromosome ssa25, whole genome shotgun sequence.